rnacentral:rRNA from 1 species
GACGAACGCUGGCGGCGUGCCUAAUACAUGCAAGUAGAACGCUGAAGGAGGAGCUUGCUUCUCUGGAUGAGUUGCGAACGGGUGAGUAACGCGUAGGUAACCUGCCUGGUAGCGGGGGAUAACUAUUGGAAACGAUAGCUAAUACCGCAUAAUAGUAGAUGUUGCAUGACAUUUGCUUAAAAGGUGCAAUUGCAUCACUACCAGAUGGACCUGCGUUGUAUUAGCUAGUUGGUGGGGUAACGGCUCACCAAGGCGACGAUACAUAGCCGACCUGAGAGGGUGAUCGGCCACACUGGGACUGAGACACGGCCCAGACUACUACGGGAGGCAGCAGUAGGGAAUCUUUGGAAAUGGACGGAAGUCUGACCGAGCAACGCCGCGUGAGUGAAGAAGGUUUUCGGAUCGUAAAGCUCUGUUGUAAGAGAAGAACGAGUGUGAGAGUGGAAAGUUCACACUGUGACGGUAGCUGACCAGAAAGGGACGGCUAACUACGUG